rnacentral:hammerhead_ribozyme from 15 species
CAGGCGUCUAAGGUAGGUUUCCACUACAAUGCCUUACUGAUGAGUCUAGUAUUAGUGGAAACCUGGACGAAACGCCAA